GCGAGAGAAAAGGAAAGGAAGGACAGCGUAGCAGCAGACUCCCUACUUCUCCUCGUUAUUCUGGAUUCUUCUUUUCAUUUGUUAGCACAAGUUGCAUCCAUCGUCAACGCUCGUCGACAGCCCAAUAAGUUCGGCAGACGUUCGAGUCCAAGUCCUGCUGCCUUCAACACCGAGCGGUGAAAGAAAGUUCUGCAACUAAUCAGUGACGUGAGAGAGACGCCGAACCACCAACAAACGUCUCACAAAUAGCUAAAAUACUAUGUGGACGGAGAUAAGAUAGAAAGGGCUUCCUGUCUGUGACCGGGGGAGACAUGGGCGCUGGCCAUCACCUUUACUGACUCUACUGGGAGAGAGUGAGAGCCAAAGGGGGGGAGGGGGGGUAGAUAGGGAGAGCGAGGGAAGGAGAGAAGGAGAGGGGGAGAGAGAAAGAGAGAAGGGAGAGAGAAAAAGAGUGCAAAAGAGCUAGAAAGACAGAGAACAUUAGAAAAAUGAAGAAAGAUAAAGAAAGAUGGAGGGAGAUAAAGACAGAGACAGGCAGGAAUCUGCCUGGAUUUUUGAUCCUGCCUGGGCAGAACUCGGCUGUGAUCACAACAUUAAUAUUCAUGAACUCGGCCCCUCACAUCCCAACUCAGACCCCCUCCCCACACCCUCUCCCCCACCACCCUUUCUCCCCCUCACCCCACUCCCACUCCCCCUCCAUUGGGUGGCAACACUUGGUAGUGCCACAUGGUGAGACAGCUGUUGCAGGCCAACAUGGGCAUCUGUGCCCACUACAGAGAGAGAGAGUUCAGGCGAGGAAGGAGGCAAGCGUGGGGUGGCAUCAGUUGGGCCAGGGCAGGGCAGAGAGAGAUAGGCCAUCAGUGGUCCAGGGCAGGGCAGAGAGAGAUAGGCCAUCAGUGGUCCAGGGCAGGGCAGAGCGAUAUAGGCCAUCAGUUGGGCCAGGGCAGGGCAGGGAGAGAUAGGCCAUCAGUGGGCCAGGCCAGGGCAGAGAGAGAUAGGCCAUCAGUGGUCCAGGGCAGGGCAGCGAGAGAUAGGCCAUCAGUGGGCCAGGCCAGGGCAGGGAGAGAUAGGCCAUCAGUGGGCCAGGCCAGGGCAGGGAGAGAUAGGCCAUCAGUGGGCCAGAGCAGGGCAGAGAGAGAUAGGCCAUCAGUGGGCCAGGCCAGGGCAGGGAGAGAUAGGCCAUCAGUGGGCCAGGCCAGGGCAGGGAGAGAUAGGCCAUCAGUGGGCCAGGGCAGGGCAGGGAGAGAUAGGCCAUCAGUGGGCCAGGACACUGAGGGCAGGGAGAGAGGGAGGCGACCCUGAUGCAACCUGAGGCCUGGACUGAAGGAGAGAUAAGGGAGAGAGAGGGGUAUAAUCACCCAAUUCCAGCCUGUAUGGUGAAAAGUAGAGAGAUGGAAGGGGGGGGGCUAGUUGUGCCAUAAGCAUCCGAUGCCAGCUGUGGGUAAAAGGUAGAGUGACAGAGACAUUGAAAAAGAGAGAGCGAGAAAGAGAGAGAGAGAGAGACAGGGAGAAAGAGAGAGAGAGAGACAGGGAGAAAGAGCGAGAGUCAGGGAAAAAGAGUGAGAGACAGGGAAAAAGAGAGAGCGAGAGAGACUGGGAGAAAAAGGGAGAGAGAGGGCAUCACAAGCAUCCCAUGCCAGCUUGUUAUGGGUGAAAAGUAGCACCUGUCCUUUAAGAGCAGAGCAGAGCAUUAGCAUGAUAAAACCAUCCAUACUCCCAGUCCCAUGUGAAGUGUUAAGAGUACUCUCAAUACAUACACUAACAACCCAUCCAUUCUCUCUCAUCUCCCCACACCCCCUCGCUCUAUCUCUAUAUCUCCCCCCUCUCUCUUCAUCCCUCUUUCUCUAACACCCCAACCCCCCCAUCCCUCCCUCCCUGAUAUCUACAGAGGGCAUGGGACCAUUCCCAGGGUGAUUAUCCCAUGCCAGGUGCCCCCUCCUCCCCCUCUCCUUUCCUCACUCCCUCAGCCCCACUACACACACACACACACACCCUUGCCAUUUCCCUCUCUCCCCCAAGCGCCAGCAGUGCCCCCCCCAGUGGCGGUGCCAACGUGGGCAGCCUCUGCCUUGGCGGUUCCCGGGCCUUCUGGUGCCCCAGAUAGGCCGUGUGUGAGUGUGUGCCGAAUGGGCCAGCCCGAUGUGGGCAUCGCCAGGCCUUUAAACUGUGUCAAUGCUCCAGAUGCUGAGAGAGACUGGGAUUAGAACAGGCGGACGUGCAUCCGUGUGGACACACACACACACCAACAUUAAUAUUGUAUUAGGAUCCCCAUUAGCUGUUGGGAAAGCAGCAGCUACUCUUCCUGGGUUCCACACAGAACAUGAAACAUGACAUAAUACAGAACAUAAUAGACAAGAACAGCUCAAGGAAUAGAACUACAUACAGUUAAAAUAAAAAUAUACAUGCUUUCAAACAUUACUGCCUUCAUAAUCAUGUGAUUCAUAAUUCUACUGAAUGCCAGUGUAACACACUAAAAUGCAAUAACAAGGAGGUGCAUUGCAAAUAGGCUGACACUUUUGGCUAAAUUCCCCUGUUGUGAAUAAAGCUACCUUGUUUU